AUUGAACGCUGGCGGCAUGCUUUACACAUGCAAGUCGAACGGUAACAGGCCGCGAGGUGCUGACGAGUGGCGAACGGGUGAGUAAUGCAUCGGAACGUGCCCAGUCGUGGGGGAUAACGCAGCGAAAGCUGUGCUAAUACCGCAUACGAUCUAUGGAUGAAAGCGGGGGACCGUAAGGCCUCGCGCGAUUGGAGCGGCCGAUGUCAGAUUAGGUAGUUGGGGGGGUAAAGGGUCACCAAGCCAACGAUCUGUAGCUGGUCUGAGAGGACGACCAGCCACACUGGGCCUGAGAGACGGUCGAGACUCCUACGGGAGGCAGCGGUGGGGAAUGUUGGACAAUGGGCGCAAGCCUGUUCCAGCACUGCCGCGUGCAGGAAGAAGGCGUUCGGGUUGUAAACUGCUUUUGUACGAAACGAAACGGUCCGGGUUAAUACCCUGGGCUAAUGACGGUACCGUAAGAAUAAGCACCGGCUAACUACGUGCCAGCCGCCGCCGUAAAAC
rnacentral:rRNA from 1 species